rnacentral:misc_RNA from 1 species
AUUUUUUUUAAUGGAAAACUUUUAAAUAAUAAUGACAGUAAUAAUAAAUAAGGGAGAGAGAACUAUUGCCUAGCAGAUUUUGUCUGAUUUUAAAUGGUUUUUGUCAUUUGAUUCUCAUUUAAGUUCCAUUCACGAUAUGAAGCCUAAGAAUUUUUAAUUUUAUAUUUGAUGUAUUUGGGUACUGGGAAUAAAUUUGGAGAAUAUAUUGGGGAAUCAUUGAAGUGGUUUUAUUUUAUUCGAUCAAUUUCUUGGUUUUGCCCCUGUUUGGUGACAAGGAGCAGCCAAAAUUGCUUCUGUUAUUACUGUCAGACGAUUAGACUUACUUAAUGGAGAUGUGUGGUUGUAUGUUAUAGCUGCUGACGUAAAAACGAAUCACA